GAUGAACGCUGGCGGCGUGCCUAAUACAUGCAAGUCGAGCGAACAGACGAGGAGCUUGCUCCUCUGACGUUAGCGGCGGACGGGUGAGUAACACGUGGAUAACCUACCUAUAAGACUGGGAUAACUUCGGGAAACCGGAGCUAAUACCGGAUAAUAUAUUGAACCGCAUGGUUCAAUAGUGAAAGACGGUUUUGCUGUCACUUAUAGAUGGAUCCGCGCCGCAUUAGCUAGUUGGUAAGGUAACGGCUUACCAAGGCAACGAUGCGUAGCCGACCUGAGAGGUUGAUCGGACACACUGGAACUGAGACACGGUCCAGACUCCUACGGGAGGCAGCAGUAGGGAAUCUUCCGCAAUGGGCGAAAGCCUGACGGAGCAACGCCGCGUGAGUGAUGAAGGUCUUCGGAUCGUAAAACUCUGUUAUUAGGGAAGAACAAAUGUGUAAGUAACUAUGCACGUCUUGACGGUACCUAAUCAGAAAGCCACGGCUAACUACGUG
rnacentral:rRNA from 1 species